rnacentral:rRNA from 1 species
CACGUAGGGGGCGAGCGUUGUCCGGAUUUAUUGGGCGUAAAGAGCUCGUAGGCGGCUCAGUAAGUCAGGUGUGAAAACUCCAGGCUCAACCUGGAGACGCCACCUGAUACUGCUGUGGCUAGAGUCCGGUAGGGGAGCAUGGAAUUCCCGGUGUAGCGGUGAAAUGCGCAGAUAUCGGGAGGAACACCAGUGGCGAAGGCGACUCUUUGGCCUGUAACUGACGCUGAGGCGCGAAAGCGUGGGGAGCAAACAGG